AAAUAACCACAGGAAAUCAGGAAACAAUGCAUGAACAGGAUGUAUCAAUGAGGAGAUUAAAAACUGUGCAAAAGAAUGAAAUUUAUUCUGGGCCUGCAAAAUACAAUAACUGACCUGAGAAACUCAUAAAGAGCAGCAGAAGAUUUGAUCAGGCAGAAGAAUUAGAAAAUCAAAGUCAGGGAGCAAAACAAAGGAGAAAAGCAAACAGGCUUUGAGGGACUCACUGGGGGCUGACAGAGGACCCACGCCAUGCAUGUGGAACCGAGAAUUUACUUGAAGAAAUAAUGGCUUAAGAAAACCCCAAAUCUGAAGAAAGAAAUGGGCAUGCAAAUUCGUGGAACUCAAAGAACUCCAACAGAAUAAAUCAACAGAAAACUACACAGACAAGCCAUAAUUAGAUUGUCUAAAAGUCAAAGAUAAUCUCGAAAGCAGCAAGACAAAACCAGUAGCUCAUACACAGCGGCUUCCAAAAAGGUCUCGGAGGAUUUCUCAAGGGACUCUCUGGGCCAGGCCGAGUGAGAUGUUGAAGGGCUGAAAGGUGAAGAAUACAUGGCUGGGCAAAACUGUCCUGAGAAACUGAAGGAGAGGGCUGAGAUGUGGCUCUGCCCUGGACCAGCAUGUGGGAGAUUCUGGGUUUCAUGCCAAAGACCACAAAAAGAAGAAAGAGGAGGAGCUUGGUCAGGAAGAGGGAGGAAAGGCCAGGAUCGGGAAAGAGAAAUGAAGAUUUCUCCAGAUCAGCAACAUCGAAGGGACUUCAUUACCACUAGCUCUGCUAACAAAACAAAACAACGACAACAAAAUUAUGGAGAGACUCUUUCAAGUUGAAAUGAAAGAAUGACAAACAGGAAGACAAACCGCAUGAUAAGGUCUGAGGAAAUGGACAGCCAUUGUGAAGAUAACAAGAUAUAACAUGGCAGCCACUGUUGACCACCUAUUGUCCUGUUCUGAAGGGAACUGCUCACCCCUGCUGUGCCCACAAUGCCAGCUGCUGCCGGGUGGGGGACCACACAAGGCAUGGCGAGUUCCUGUCCUGGAGGUGGCAUCAGAAUGGGCCACCACAAGCCAGCAGCGUUCCUCCUGAUUCAAACACAGCUGCCCCACGAUGGUUUGGCCCGAAGGAGAACCCGGGAGGAAAUGAGAAGCCCAGCUCGGAACAGCUUGAUCCCAGCUGCUUAACUCAGCACCUCGUGCCUCAGUUUAUCUAUUUGUAAAAGAGACCCUGCUCCCAGUCCCCCUUGCAUGAGCUUGAAAGGACAUGUAAAAUAGUAGAGGCCCCCUGUACUCUCAAUGGCUUACCCUACACACGCCAGGCACAGAAAUUAAAGGUACUACACGUUUUAAGUGUAA